rnacentral:misc_RNA from 1 species
CAACAGCACCACCAAGCUCCCUUGCAUUGUUCCAGAUAGAGCCUUGCAAAAAAAUGAACAUCAUUUUUUUUUCUUUUAAAUGAAAAGAAAUGAAAUUUAAAAGGAAAAAAAAUUGCAAUAGCAAGGGCCAUUUCAAAUUAUCAGGUCAAAUGCCUAAAUGUCAAGUAAAAGGCUUCUUGGAUUUUAAAUAUUUGAGUUAUUGCCUUCUCAAGGCUCCCCCAAGAGAUCAUCUCAAGAUCAAAAGGUUAAAUGAAGCUCUGAUUGCUAUAUCACUGCGUUUAACCUCACGAAACACUUGCCAACAUGAGGCUCCAAUAGGCAGUGAAUCAAAAACAAAAGCUUAAGUAGCCUUGUUGGACCACAAAUAAAGAGAUCAAAUUAUCAAAACCCUCCAGUAAACACUAAGCAUACCGAAUAUCAGAUUGGACUGAAACCAUCCACUAGUUUUUGAAAAAAAAAAAAAGUGUCAAAUUGAAUGACCUUGAAUACAGCCAGGUAAAAAGAGAAAAAGGUGGAAUAGCAGCUUUCCCCAAAAAAUAGAUAAGUUUUAUGUGUGUGUGUGUGUGU